rnacentral:rRNA from 1 species
AUGAACGCUGGCGGCGUGCCUAAUACAUGCAAGUCGAGCGAACAGACGAGGAGCUUGCUCCUCUGACGUUAGCGGCGGACGGGUGAGUAACACGUGGAUAACCUACCUAUAAGACUGGGAUAACUUCGGGAAACCGGAGCUAAUACCGGAUAAUAUAUUGAACCGCAUGGUUCAAUAGUGAAAGACGGUUUUGCUGUCACUUAUAGAUGGAUCCGCGCCGCAUUAGCUAGUUGGUAAGGUAACGGCUUACCAAGGCAACGAUGCGUAGCCGACCUGAGAGGGUGAUCGGCCACACUGGAACUGAGACACGGUCCAGACUCCUACGGGAGGCAGCAGUAGGGAAUCUUCCGCAAUGGGCGAAAGCCUGACGGAGCAACGCCGCGUGAGUGAAGAAGGUCUUCGGAUCGUAAAACUCUGUUAUUAGGGAAGAACAAAUGUGUAAGUAACUAUGCACGUCUUGACGGUACCUAAUCAGAAAGCCACGGCUAACUACGUG